rnacentral:rRNA from 1 species
GUGGAUAACCUACCUAUAAGACUGGGAUAACUUCGGGAAAUCGGAGCUAAUACCGGAUAAUAUAUUGAACCGCAUGGUUCAAUAGUGAAAGACGGUUUUGCUGUCACUUAUAGAUGGAUCCGCGCCGCAUUAGCUAGUUGGUAAGGUAACGGCUUACCAAGGCAACGAUGCGUAGCCGACCUGAGAGGGUGAUCGGCCACACUGGAACUGAGACACGGUCCAG